rnacentral:rRNA from 1 species
CCUACGUGAUGCUGCAGUGAGGAAUAUUGGUCAAUGGGCGCGAGCCUGAACCAGCCAAGUAGCGUGAAGGAUGACUGCCCUACGGGUUGUAAACUUCUUUUAUAAAGGAAUAAAGUGAGGCACGUGUGCCUUUUUGUAUGUACUUUAUGAAUAAGGAUCGGCUAACUCCGUGCCAGCAGCCGCGGUAAUACGGAGGAUCCGAGCGUUAUCCGGAUUUAUUGGGUUUAAGGGGAGCGUAGAUGGGUUGUUAAGUCAGUUGUGAAAGUUUGCGGCUCAACCGUAAAAUUGCAAUUGAUACUGGCAGUCUUGAGUACAGUUGAGGUAGGCGGAAUUCGUGGUGUAGCGGUGAAAUGCUUAGAUAUCACGAAGAACUCCGAUUGCGAAGGCAGCUUACUAAACUGCCACUGACAUUGAUGCUCGAAAGUGUGGGUAUCAAACAGGAUUAGAUACCCCUGUAGUC